CAGCCGCCGCGGUAAUACAGAGGGUGCGAGCGUUAAUCGGAUUUACUGGGCGUAAAGCGUGCGUAGGCGGCUUCUUAAGUCGGAUGUGAAAUCCCUGAGCUUAACUUAGGAAUUGCAUUCGAUACUGGGAAGCUAGAGUAUGGGAGAGGAUGGUAGAAUUCCAGGUGUAGCGGUGAAAUGCGUAGAGAUCUGGAGGAAUACCGAUGGCGAAGGCAGCCAUCUGGCCUAAUACUGACGCUGAGGUACGAAAGCAUGGGGAGCAAACAGGAUUAGAUACCCCGGUAGUCCCUGUCUAUUAUAC
rnacentral:rRNA from 1 species